GAUUAAGUUAUUAAGGGCGCACGGUGGAUGCCUUGGCACUAGAAGCCGAUGAAGGACGUUACUAACGACGAUAUGCUUUGGGGAGCUGUAAGUAAGCUUUGAUCCAGAGAUUUCCGAAUGGGGAAACCCAGCAUGAGUUAUGUCAUGUUAUCGAUAUGUGAAUACAUAGCAUAUCAGAAGGCACACCCGGAGAACUGAAACAUCUUAGUACCCGGAGGAAGAGAAAGAAAAUUCGAUUCCCUUAGUAGCGGCGAGCGAAACGGGAAGAGCCCAAACCAACAAGCUUGCUUGUUGGGGUUGUAGGACACUCUAUACGGAGUUACAAAGGACGACAUUAGACGAAUCAUCUGGAAAGAUGAAUCAAAGAAGGUAAUAAUCCUGUAGUCGAAAAUGUUGUCUCUCUUGAGUGGAUCCUGAGUACGACGGAGCACGUGAAAUUCCGUCGGAAUCUGGGAGGACCAUCUCCUAAGGCUAAAUACUCUCUAGUGACCGAUAGUGAACCAGUACCGUGAGGGAAAGGUGAAAAGCACCCCGGAAGGGGAGUGAAAUAGAACCUGAAACCGUGUGCUUACAAGUAGUCAGAGCCCGUUAAUGGGUGAUGGCGUGCCUUUUGUAGAAUGAACCGGCGAGUUACGAUUUGAUGCAAGGUUAAGCAGUAAAUGUGGAGCCGUAGCGAAAGCGAGUCUGAAUAGGGCGUUUAGUAUUUGGUCGUAGACCCGAAACCAGGUGAUCUACCCUUGGUCAGGUUGAAGUUCAGGUAACACUGAAUGGAGGACCGAACCGACUUACGUUGAAAAGUGAGCGGAUGAACUGAGGGUAGCGGAGAAAUUCCAAUCGAACCUGGAGAUAGCUGGUUCUCUCCGAAAUAGCUUUAGGGCUAGCCUCAAGUGAUGAUUAUUGGAGGUAGAGCACUGUUUGGACGAGGGGCCCCUCUCGGGUUACCGAAUUCAGACAAACUCCGAAUGCCAAUUAAUUUAACUUGGGAGUCAGAACAUGGGUGAUAAGGUCCGUGUUCGAAAGGGAAACAGCCCAGACCACCAGCUAAGGUCCCAAAAUAUAUGUUAAGUGGAAAAGGAUGUGGCGUUGCCCAGACAACUAGGAUGUUGGCUUAGAAGCAGCCAUCAUUUAAAGAGUGCGUAAUAGCUCACUAGUCGAGUGACACUGCGCCGAAAAUGUACCGGGGCUAAACAUAUUACCGAAGCUGUGGAUUGUCCUUUGGACAAUGGUAGGAGAGCGUUCUAAGGGCGUUGAAGCAUGAUCGUAAGGACAUGUGGAGCGCUUAGAAGUGAGAAUGCCGGUGUGAGUAGCGAAAGACGGGUGAGAAUCCCGUCCACCGAUUGACUAAGGUUUCCAGAGGAAGGCUCGUCCGCUCUGGGUUAGUCGGGUCCUAAGCUGAGGCCGACAGGCGUAGGCGAUGGAUAACAGGUUGAUAUUCCUGUACCACCUAUAAUCGUUUUAAUCGAUGGGGGGACGCAGUAGGAUAGGCGAAGCGUGCGAUUGGAUUGCACGUCUAAGCAGUAAGGCUGAGUAUUAGGCAAAUCCGGUACUCGUUAAGGCUGAGCUGUGAUGGGGAGAAGACAUUGUGUCUUCGAGUCGUUGAUUUCACACUGCCGAGAAAAGCCUCUAGAUAGAAAAUAGGUGCCCGUACCGCAAACCGACACAGGUAGUCAAGAUGAGAAUUCUAAGGUGAGCGAGCGAACUCUCGUUAAGGAACUCGGCAAAAUGACCCCGUAACUUCGGGAGAAGGGGUGCUCUUUAGGGUUAACG
rnacentral:rRNA from 1 species